UCGCCAUCAGCCCUGAAGAGACGACCUGCUUUCCUUCGAUGGCCGAAGCGGUGUGGGAAUCCCGAGAGUAUGACCCUGGGCACACCGUGCCUGCAGACUGGUCAGGAAGGUGGGGUGGCCGUGCAAGCUCACCGCCAGCCAGGAAGAGACGACCUAUUUUCCUUUGAUGGCCAGAGGUGCUCGGGAGUCCUGGAGGGAGUGUGGCCCCAGGUGUGCACCAUGCAUGUGGAUCCCUUCAGAAGGUGGAGCUGCAGCGCAAGGCUCUUCGUUGGCCCAGAC